GACGAACGCUGGCGGCGUGCUUAACACAUGCAAGUCGAACGGAAAGGCCCUGCUUUUGUGGGGUGCUCGAGUGGCGAACGGGUGAGUAACACGUGAGUAACCUGCCCUUGACUUUGGGAUAACUUCAGGAAACUGGGGCUAAUACCGGAUAGGAGCUCCUGCUGCAUGGUGGGGGUUGGAAAGUUUCGGCGGUUGGGGAUGGACUCGCGGCUUAUCAGCUUGUUGGUGGGGUAGUGGCUUACCAAGGCUUUGACGGGUAGCCGGCCUGAGAGGGUGACCGGCCACAUGGGGACUGAGAUACGGCCCAGACGGGUACGGGAGGCAGCAGUGGGGAAUAUGGCACAAUGGGCGGAAGCCUGAUGCAGCGACGCCGCGUGCGGGAUGACGGCCUUCGGGUUGUAAACCGCUUUCGCCUGUGACGAAGCGUGAGUGACGGUAAUGGGUAAAGAAGCACCGGCUAACUACGUG
rnacentral:rRNA from 1 species